rnacentral:lncRNA from 1 species
GGUUCUUCCUCCUUCCCCGUGUGUCUCCCCCUCCUCUCCUGGCCCUUCUCCGCCUCCCCUGUCCCUUCUCCUCCCCGUCCCUUCUCCUCUUCCCUGACCCUCAGAGCUCUGGAGACCACCCCCCAUCCCCUGACCAGCUACACAUUUUACAACUAGUGCACUUAAGUUGGGGAGGGGUCUGUUGUGCGUCGGUGGGGCCCACGUCCUCCUCCCAACUUCUUGGAAUCAGUGACCCGUGCUGUCCUGGCUGCCGGGCUUAAGCCCUCCGGGACCAAAGACACAAGCUCGAGUUUCCUCUAAGAAAAGAAAGCGCCCAAGAAUGUGGGGGUGAAACUCCCCUGUAAUUAGGAUCGCCAGAAUGUUAUGGAACAGUUCAAUCCUGGGCUGCGAAAUUUAAUAAACCUGGGGAAAAAUUAUGAGAAAGCUGUAAACGCUAUGAUCCUGGCAGGAAAAGCCUACUACGAUGGAGUGGCCAAGAUCGGUGAGAUUGCCACUGGGUCCCCCGUGUCAACUGAACUGGG